rnacentral:rRNA from 1 species
GAUGAACGCUGGCGGCGUGCCUAAUACAUGCAAGUCGAACGAAGCCUUCGGGCUUAGUGGCGGACGGGUGAGUAACACGUUGGUACCUACCCGAAGUGGGGAAUAACUGGCCGAAAGGUCGGCUAAUACCGCAUAAUACCGCAAGGUUAAAGCAGUAAUGCGCUUCGGGAGGGCCUGCGUCCCAUUAGCUUGUUGGUAGUGUAAUGGACUACCAAGGCGACGAUGGGUAGCUGGAUCGAGAGGUUGACCAGCCACACUGGGACUGAGAUACGGCCCAGACUCCUACGGGAGGCAGCAGUAAGGAAUCUUCCACAAUGGACGAAAGUCUGAUGGAGCAACGCCGCGUGCAGGAUGACGGUCUUCGGAUUGUAAACUGCUUUUAUAUGGGAAGAUUAUGACGGUACCAUAUGAAU